UGUUAAGCCCUGUGCCACUGAGAGAU
rnacentral:piRNA from 1 species